rnacentral:rRNA from 1 species
GGGACACGUGGUAUCCUGUCUGAAUAUGGGGGGACCAUCCUCCAAGGCUAAAUACUCCUGACUGACCGAUAGUGAACCAGUACCGUGAGGGAAAGGCGAAAAGAACCCCGGCGAGGGGAGUGAAAAAGAACCUGAAACCGUGUACGUACAAGCAGUGGGAGCACCUUCGGGUGUGACUGCGUACCUUUUGUAUAAUGGGUCAGCGACUUAUAUUCUGUAGCAAGGUUAACCGUAUAGGGGAGCCGCAGGGAAACCGAGUCUUAACUGGGCGUUAAGUUGCAGGGUAUAGACCCGAAACCCGGUGAUCUAGCCAUGGGCAGGUUGAAGGUUGGGUAACACUAACUGGAGGACCGAACCGACUAAUGUUGAAAAAUUAGCGGAUGACUUGUGGCUGGGGGUGAAAGGCCAAUCAAACCGGGAGAUAGCUGGUUCUCCCCGAAAGCUAUUUAGGUAGCGCCUCGUGAAUUCAUCUUCGGGGGUAGAGCACUGUUUCGGCUAGGGGGUCAUCCCGACUUACCAACCCGAUGCAAACUACGAAUACCGAAGAAUGUUAUCACGGGAGACACACGGCGGGUGCUAACGUCCGUCGUGAAGAGGGAAACAACCCAGACCGCCAGCUAAGGUCCCAAAGUCACAGUUAAGUGGGAAACGAUGUGGGAAGGCACAGACAGCCAGGAUGUUGGCUUAGAAGCAGCCAUCAUUUAAAGAAAGCGUAAUAGCUCACUGGUCGAGUCGGCCUGCGCGGAAGAUGUAACGGGGCUAAACUGUGCACCGAAGCUGCGGCAGCGACACUAUGUGUUGUUGGGUAGGGGAGCGUUCUGUAAGCCUGCGAAGGUGGCCUGUGAGGGUUGCUGGAGGUAUCAGAAGUGCGAAUGCUGACAUAAGUAACGAUAAUGCGGGUGAAAAGCCCGCACGCCGGAAGACCAAGGGUUCCUGUCCAACGUUAAUCGGGGCAGGGUGAGUCGACCCCUAAGGCGAGGCCGAAAGGCGUAGUCGAUGGGAAACAGGUUAAUAUUCCUGUACUUGGUGUUACUGCGAAGGGGGGACGGAGAAGGCUAUGUUAGCCGGGCGACGGUUGUCCCGGUUUAAGCAUGUAGGCGGAGGUUCCAGGUAAAUCCGGUACCUUUUUAACGCUGAGGUGUGAUGACGAGGCACUACGGUGCUGAAGUAACAAAUGCCCUGCUUCCAGGAAAAGCCUCUAAGCAUCAGGUAACAUUAAAUCGUACCCCAAACCGACACAGGUGGUCAGGUAGAGAAUACCAAGGCGCUUGAGAGAACUCGGGUGAAGGAACUAGGCAAAAUGGUGCCGUAACUUCGGGAGAAGGCACGCUGAUAUGUAGGUGAAGCCCCUGCGGGUGGAGCUGAAAUCAGUCGAAGAUACCAGCUGGCUGCAACUGUUUAUUAAAAACACAGCACUGUGCAAACACGAAAGUGGACGUAUACGGUGUGACGCCUGCCCGGUGCCGGAAGGUUAAUUGAUGGGGUUAUCCGUAAGGAGAAGCUCUUGAUCGAAGCCCCGGUAAACGGCGGCCGUAACUAUAACGGUCCUAAGGUAGCGAAAUUCCUUGUCGGGUAAGUUCCGACCUGCACGAAUGGCGUAAUGAUGGCCAGGCUGUCUCCACCCGAGACUCAGUGAAAUUGAACUCGCUGUGAAGAUGCAGUGUACCCGCGGCAAGACGGAAAGACCCCGUGAACCUUUACUAUAGCUUGACACUGAACAUUGAGCCUUGAUGUGUAGGAUAGGUGGGAGGCUUUGAAGCGUGGACGCCAGUCUGCGUGGAGCCAACCUUGAAAUACCACCCUUUAAUGUUUGAUGUUCUAACGUUGGCCCCUUAUCGGGGUUGCGGACAGUGUCUGGUGGGUAGUUUGACUGGGGCGGUCUCCUCCCAAAGAGUAACGGAGGAGCACGAAGGUUAGCUAAUCCUGGUCGGACAUCAGGAGGUUAGUGCAAUGGCAUAAGCUAGCUUGACUGCGAGCGUGACGGCGCGAGCAGGUGCGAAAGCAGGUCAUAGUGAUCCGGUGGUUCUGAAUGGAAGGGCCAUCGCUCAACGGAUAAAAGGUACUCCGGGGAUAACAGGCUGAUACCGCCCAAGAGUUCAUAUCGACGGCGGUGUUUGGCACCUCGAUGUCGGCUCAUCACAUCCUGGGGCUGAAGUAGGUCCCAAGGGUAUGGCUGUUCGCCAUUUAAAGUGGUACGCGAGCUGGGUUUAGAACGUCGUGAGACAGUUCGGUCCCUAUCUGCCGUGGGCGCUGGAGAAUUGAGGGGGGCUGCUCCUAGUACGAGAGGACCGGAGUGGACGCAUCACUGGUGUUCGGGUUGUCAUGCCAAUGGCAUUGCCCGGUAGCUAAAUGCGGAAGAGAUAAGUGCUGAAAGCAUCUAAGCACGAAACUUGC